rnacentral:rRNA from 1 species
CUGGAGUCUGCAACCCGACUCCACGAAGCUGGAUUCGCUAGUAAUCGCGCAUCAGCCACGGCGCGGUGAAUACGUUCCCGGGCCUUGUACACACCGCCCGUCAAGCCAUGGGAGCCGGGGGUACCUGAAGUGCGUAACCGCGAGGAUCGCCCUAGGGUAAAACUGGUGACUGGGGCUAAGUCGUAACAAGGUAUC